ACAUAAGAUGAGAGAGUCUGGAAAAAUGAGGAAGGAGGAAGGAGAACAAGGGAUAAUGGCCAGAGCGUAAGGGGUAAGAAUGAUGAAGAUAACAAAAGUGAUUUAGGAACAUAGAAAUGAAAUUAAAAGGGGGAGUCGGAGGAAUGAUUGGAGAGAAUGCAAGCAGAAGGACGUGUAUGUAAUUGGAGAAGAGAAAAGGGGGAUAUUGAGACAGUGCAAGCUGUCAUCCAGUUGGAGAGGGUCAAAGGAUGUGUUUGGGAACUGGAGUCAAAGAGAGUCUUGCCAAGAAGUGACGUAAAGCUGGAAUCCACUAGGUGGCAGCGGCUCUCAAAUAGCACAAACUUGGAAAAAGAAGAAAUGAGAGGAGAGAUGAACAAUGCAGGUCAGCUUAACUUUCGGUAGAGGGGGGAACACCGUCUACAGUUGGAGUGAAUGAACAUUCUAAUAUGUAAAGCAGCACUUCCAUCCAGUUGUUGUAGGACCCUGGGAGAGUCCAAGACUUACUAAUAACCCAAUUAGCUGUGAUUUGUCACGACGUGGGUGGAGAGAGAAUGAGCUCUCUUGACCUGUCAUUCAAAGACAAAUUAACCGUUGCUCCCAUAAUGCACUAGUGCAGUUGGCUUAUGCUGAAAAGGAAGCUAUCAAAUGUCGACUCCUCUAUUGUGGUGACAAUUCCCAUGGAUUCCUCUGUAAAGGUUUCGGAGGUCACCUCUUGCCCUGAGAAUCUAAACUUUCAAAUGUAGUGUAAAUUUAUAGAGUGACAAUGAUGGGAAGGAAUUUAAAAUGUCUCAUUGUACACAAGUUGCCUUCUCUGUAAUGAAAAGUGUGUGAACACUUCAAAUAAUGCUUUUAUGUAAAUGAUUUCCCUCAUCCAAGUUUGUGAUGUGCUGUACAAGUGUGCUGAGUGCUUUCUGAGCAUAUUGACUACAGCUGCUGUAUGUUGUAGUGGUGAUGUCAUGUAGUCCAGCUGCAUCUCAUUGGCUGC